UCAGAGCUUGCUCUGAGUGGAAAGUGGCGAACGGGUGAGGAACACGUGAGGAACCUGCCCCGAAGACCGGGACAACAUCGGGAAACCGGUGCUAAUACCGGAUGUCCUCGCCGAAGCUCAUGCUUUGGUGAGGAAAUGGAUUCCGCUUCGGGAUGGCCUCGCGGCCUAUCAGCUUGUUGGUGAGGUAACGGCUCACCAAGGCUUCGACGGGUAGCUGGUCUGAGAGGAUGUCCAGCCACACUGGGACUGAGACACGGCCCAGACUCC
rnacentral:rRNA from 2 species